UUUGUGCUUAUACAUGUAGGUCACAUUUUUAUGUAUGUUUACCAACCACCUGUCUGUCUUAUGUUCCCAUAACAAAAGCGUCUACACUCAUGAAAGCAGCACCAAGUAACCUGCCAUGCACUUUUGUGGUUUAUCAUAGACAUGUGAUGUAUUGAAACAGAAAAAACGGUUAGGUUAAACGCUUCUUUGAACGGUAUAUCAUUUCUAUCACGGCUUGUCAGUUUAUUGUGGAGGAAAGCCCGAAGUGAUGCAGGUCUCAGACGUUUACCACUUUAGUGAACCUCACGAGCAAGGGAUUUAUAAUUGCCAGUCGACUACAUCCAAGCAAAGUACUCUGCAGUGUUGCUGAUCCUCUCACUACACUCCACAUAAACUCGAUGCAGUGGUCGUUGAGAUAGCCUCUCCCUGAAAACUGAGUCUGGGCCGAUUUGAUAUGGCACUUCGCUUGGUUGACACUCAUUUCUGUAUCGUCCAGCAACACACAUAACCAUCAACAAAAAUCAACAUUAACAUUGAGAUUAUGUCGCACAUCCUUGGCUUGUUUACGAUAACUGUGGGAUGCCUUGUUUUCAUCAUGAGUUUUGACAUGUUUCACAAGAAGAUGAAUAAUGUUGCAUUUGUCGAGCCCAAAGGACAUGCUGAUGUCAUUAGAAAAGGACUUGACAAGCAGAAUCUGUUUGGUGUGGAUCCUCCAUUGGCAAUAAGUUGGGAUCUGUGCUGAGGAGAUCCAGGAUGAUAACCAUCAUCUUUUCUAAGCAAAAGCUUGAAGGAUUUAUUGACAAACAGAAAAGCAAAGGGCUUAAAGAAUCGCCCUGAAAUAUUCUUCUUCUUCUUCUUAUUAUUAUUAUUAUUUUUUUUUUUUUUUUUUUUUUUUUUUUUUGUAGUAGUAGUAGUAUUAGUAUUAGUGUUAUUAUCCACAGAAUAAAGUAAAAAAGCCGCAAAGAGAGUUUGCGUGAUCCUUGCACAGUCAGGCUGGUUAGGCUCAUCAUCAACUCUAUACGCAGCCCAGACAGCGAAUGGGACCCACCAAGAACUUUUUAGGGAAUGUGUUGACUCCAAAACAAUGCAGUCUUCUGCAUUACCUAGAUUGACAAAAGGGAACUCUCCCAAUGUCAGACAACAUAUUGGGAGGUACCAAAUAUAAGACACCGAGAACAAUGGGGAAUCGGACAACUUGGUACGCAAGAGUGACAUUUAAGCUAUUUGCCAUGAUUUUCCUGAAUCGUGUCAAUCACAUUAGUGUCAAAAGGAACAAAGGUUUCAAUGAUAUAAAAGAUUUCAUUGGAUUUAAAAAUAGGGGACACAGGUGACCAAGCCGUCUAGGGGGCCGCAUUUCGCUG